UACGUAGGGGGCAAGCGUUGUCCGGAUUUAUUGGGCGUAAAGCGCGUGUAGGCGGCCAUACAGGUCCGUUGUGAAAACUCGAGGCUUAACCUCGAGACGUCGAUGGAAACCGUAUGGCUAGAGUCCGGAAGAGGAGAGUGGAAUUCCUGGUGUAGCGGUGAAAUGCGCAGAUAUCAGGAAGAACACCAAUGGCGAAAGCAGCUCUCUGGGACGGUACUGACGCUGAGACGCGAAAGCGUGGGGAGCGAACAGG
rnacentral:rRNA from 1 species